AAAGAUAUAGCAUAUUCUUCUGAAUAUACUUAUUAACCCAUUCCGAGUACCUUACCCGUUGCUUCCGCGAGGCUGUCCUCACGGCCCUCUGAAGAUUUAUCUUGGGAGUCCUUGCGGAAGGUAUACAAUAAACUCUUGCGAUCUACCAUGUCAUCCCCUUUCUGAAUCUGUUAUAAAACAAAUAUUA
rnacentral:misc_RNA from 1 species